rnacentral:rRNA from 1 species
GAUGAACGCUGGCGGCGUGCCUAAUACAUGCAAGUCGAGCGAACAGACGAGGAGCUUGCUCCUCUGACGUUAGCGGCGGACGGGUGAGUAACACGUGGAUAACCUACCUAUAAGACUGGGAUAACUUCGGGAAACCGGAGCUAAUACCGGAUAAUAUAUUGAACCGCAUGGUUCAAUAGUGAAAGACGGUUUUGCUGUAACUUAUAGAUGGAUCCGCGCCGCAUUAGCUAGUUGGUAAGGUAACGGCUUACCAAGGCAACGAUGCGUAGCCGACCUGAGAGGGUGAUCGGCCACACGGGAACUGAGACACGGUCCAGACUCCUACGGGAGGCAGCAGUAGGGAAUCUUCCGCAAUGGGCGAAAGCCUGACGGAGCAACGCCGCGUGAGUGAUGAAGGUCUUCGGAUCGUAAAACUCUGUUAUUAGGGAAGAACAAAUGUGUAAGUAACUAUGCACGUCUUGACGGUACCUAAUCAGAAAGCCACGGCUAACUACGUG